UUAGCUGGCUUCCUUCAUCACACGUCCGGACGCUGCCUCACUCUCAAUACAUCUUCAAGCUUCAAAGUCUUUGGCUACCUUCCUUUUCCUCUCGCCAAAAUCGAAGCUGCUUUGUGCUUCGUGUUGAUGCCCGUUCGGUCCAACCCCAGCAUCGAAGACUUGCAGCAAUUCCAUGUGAAGCCUGCUGCUUCGUGUCCUCUCCUCCACCGAAGUUGCUCCAUCUCUGCUCCGCCAGCGCUCCUUCUUCGUUGGUCGCUUUUUCCCCCAGGCUGCAACUUGGCUGCAUCCUCUCUUGUUUCGGUUAAAACAGCUGAGUUGAAGACCGAAGUGAAGCCGCACGAGUCCACCGAAUUCUGCCAUCCACCGAAGCCACUUGCCAGUCAACUCCAACGCCCACCGAAGACCACCGAUUCAACCAAGGAAAAACCCAUAUCUUCGUCUGCAAGGUCCACCGAAAGCCAGCCAUGUUGACUCUUUGCUGCUAGCAAAUUCGUGGACGCAAGCCAGCUGCCCGCGUGGUCUUCUUCAGCCGAAUCGAAGACCCAGCGACACCAGCGAGCUUGUCAGCAGGUCUUCAGCAACGACGCACGAAGCCCCCACGAGCGCCAGCCCACCGAUCCUUCAGCAAGCUCACGCACUCCAGUCCACCUUCGCCUCAGUUUGCUUCGGCCCAAUUCGCAGCUAUCCAACAAGCAGCCCACCGAAUAGGCAGCUUCCAAUUGCAGUUUGUUCAGCCCAUUUGGGCCGCAAGUCAGCCCAGUCGAAUUUCACCAGUAGCAGCCCAUCAGCAGAAUUUUAUUGAGGCCCAUCUCCUGCAGUCUUCAAGCCCAGUCCAGUCCAAGUGAAUUAAUUGGUCAAGCCUAGUCCAGCAGCCCAUCAACUGAAAUUUUGAGGCCCAAUUUCCAGCAAAGCAAUUGAAACCCAGUCCGCAACUUGAAGCCCGUUUGAGCCCAGCUUAGCAUUUUGGUCUCAAGAUCCUGAUGAGGAGCCUGAGGAGGAGGAAUUUGAAGAGGAGAACCUUGAUGUGGAACCAGAUGAGGAGGAAGAUUUUGGAGAAGAAGAUGACCACGAGGAGGAUCCUGAGUAUGACCCUUGAUGAGGACUGAGAUCCCAUCAUGUUUUGUUAGACCUUGAUUAUAUGUGGAUAAGUGUUAGAUCAGACCAUUGUGAAUAGUAUUGAAAAUUAUGGCCCUUCUUUUCUAUCCGAAUGUUUUAUUGUCUGGGGAUUUUUAA